CGCAUCUGUGCAUGCAGCAUAUCAAUAAGCGGAGGAAAAGAAACUAACAAGGAUUCCCCUAGUAACGGCGAGUGAAGCGGGAAGAGCUCAAAUUUGAAAUCUUAAAGGGUUUCCCUUUACGAAUUGUAGUUUAAAGAAGUGUUUUCUGUUGAGGUUUUGGUAAAAGUUCUUUGGAAUAGGACAUCAUAGAGGGUGAGAAUCCCGUAUUUGACCUUUACUUUCAACUUUGUGAUACACUUUCAAAGAGUCGGAUUGUUUGGGAAUGCAGUCCAAAAUGGGUGGUAAAUUUCAUCUAAAGCUAAAUAUUGGCGAGAGACCGAUAGCGAACAAGUACCGUGAGGGAAAGAUGAAAAGAACUUUGAAAAGAGAGUUAAACAGUACGUGAAAUUGUCAAAAGGGAAGCGUUUGACACCAGUGUUGUUUUUCUGAAAAUCAAUUAAAGAACUGUUUAUGCUAAGCUGUUUAGACUUUAUCAGCUAUCUGUUUAGUUUUGAGCUUUUCUUUAAUGCACUUUUCAGUUAACAAGUCAACAUCAAUUUCUUUUGCUGUAAAAAAGCUUGAGGAAGGUGGCUUGAGAUUCGUCUUAAGUGUUUAUAGCCUCUUGCCUAUGCAGUCGGAAAGAUUGAGGUCUGCAGCGUAGAUCCUUCGGGGCUAAAUGCAUUUGUGCUAAGUUAUAGCAUUUUAUAGACAACUUGUUGACUAUGAUUUGUCUUGUAGCUUACUCGCUUAUGUUAUUUUACCUACGCUUAGGAUGUUGAGUCGUAGAGCACGCAG
rnacentral:rRNA from 1 species